rnacentral:lncRNA from 1 species
GGCCUGGAAGGGAGUGGGGGAAGGAGGAGAGAACAUCUAGAAGAAAUAGGGGAGGAGAGAAGAGAAAAGGGAGAAAUAGAAGAAAAAGAUUUAUUUUAGUAGAGAGGCUCUGGACUUACAAUCACAUUACAAGACUAAGUUCAAGUCUAGGUAUUGGCCUUCAACAAGCCUUUAAACUUCCCUAAGCUUCAGUUUUCUUAUCUGUAUAAUGCUACAGUGCAAUUGUAAGGAAACAAAAUUUACUUAUGUUCUGAGGACUUCAACCAAAAGAUCAGCAAUCCCUGCAAAGCAACAACUCUUCAAAAAACAUAAGAAAGAAACAAAUCUUUGGACUUAAAAAUCCUGAAAGGAACACUGCUAUAAAUUUCAUUACUUCAAACCCAAAUCCCUAGGAACCAGAAAAUGAACACUAAAUCAGAAGGACUUAAAAUGAAACAGAUGGUUUAAGAGGAAACCGAAACCAAGCCACUGCAGAGUUGGAAACUGGGUUAAAACAUUCAACAGGAGAAAUCAUGGAGAAAUGUCGCAUCAUACAGUAUGCAAAGAAGACUUGUUCUUAAAGAAUAUUGGGUCUCUUGUAGCAACAAAAAGAAGAAGCAUUAAACAUUUAUUGAUACCGUCUACUUUCACUUUUAGAAAGCAUUUGGCAAAGAUCCACUUGGCCUGAUUCCUAGAACAGUGGCACAGUACUCUGGCUGCCUAGAAAAUUGGCUAAAGAGUAAAAGAUGUUAUCUAAAUGGAACCUUUGUCAAAUUGGCAAAAGGCUUUUAGCCCAGUAUUGCAGGAAUUUCCAUUAUAAACCCAGAUUCUUAUUAAAUCACAUCAAUAUUGGAAUUGAAAGAAAGAAGAAGAAAAAACUUGAGUUCCAACUUCUAAAAAAUCCUAAAAUAUUUAAACCUAUCUUCAGUUAGAGCUGGAGAUUUUUUGUGGUAUUUAGGGAAGAUGGAGAGAAAAAGUUUGGAGAAAAAAAUUUAUACAACUUCAGAAAACUAGAGAAUUAUAAAUUAUUUAAAAUCCAUUUUGUCCUUUUUCAUAAAAUUAGUAACUAUAUUCAACUUUAAGAAUUAAUAUUCUUGAUCAAGUAUUUAUUUUUAUGCCCUUAUUUUAAUGGAUGAAAAAGCAUUUACUAUAUUAAGCACUCCUUCUGUGUCAGGCAAAAGGCAGCAGGGUAUAAUGGAGAUAUGAUCUUGAAACUAAGAAGACAUGGAUUCAAGUUCCACCACUAAUACAUAUAAGCCUAGCACUUUCUGGGCAACUAAGUCUAUAAACUAUAGAAAAGUGCUGACUUUGGGGGAUAGAGGGAUUUUCCUCACCCAGGAGUUUUUCUAUAUUGAGAGAAUCAAAGAUUCAAUUCCUAUCCCUAUAUGACAGAUAGUAGGCUAAGUCCUAGAGAUAUGAAGAUAAAAAGGAGCUCAAAAGCAGACAAGAUGUCUGUGUAUUUUCUCUCUUGAUGUCUCCUCACAUUGGACGCAAGGGCAUCAAGAGCUGGGGAUGGAGUCAGGAAGACAUCUUUCUGAGUUCAAAUCUGGCUUUAGACACUUUACUAGCCAUGUGACCUUGGACAAGCCACUUAAGCCUGGUUAUCUCAAGUUUCCUCAUCUGUAAAAUCUGCUGGAGAAAGAAAUGGCAAACUACUCCCAGGAUCUCUACCAAGAAAACCCUAAAUGGGGUCAGCAAGAGUUGGACAUUAUAGUACAGAACAACUCCCCCAAUUAAGGUUGUCAGCUCCUUCAAAAUAGGAAUUGUCUCUUUUUCUAUGUAUAUCACUUGAAUUUAAUACAGUACUUGCUACAGGAUAAGUACUUACCAUUGCUUUUGUAUUCAUUCAAAGGCAAAUACAGAAUAAAAUGAAAUAAAUAUAAGGAAAUUUAGAGAUCAGUAGAAAUGGAGGAGGGGAAGGCCAAAUGCAGGGAGAUGAGGAAAGACUUUUGUGUACAAAUUAAUACUUGAACUGAAUGCUUGAAUUAAUGUUUUACUCUAACUCACACUUCACCUGACAAUCUUGCAACUUUAUUUUCUAAACCUUAUUCUUCUAAAAUCAUUUUUAAUUCUUUAAAACCUUAUAAUUUUGUUAAUGAAAUUGCAGGAUUACCAAAGAUGGACACAUAAUAGUGGAGAGUUCUGAUAAAAGGUGAUCAACUAGAGAAGGAAAUGGCAAACCACUCCAAUAUCUGCCAAGAAAACUCCAUGGACAGUACUAAAAUGUUAAACAAUAUAUCAGAGAUGAGUUCUUCAGGUCGGAAAUGCCUGGUAUUCUAUGGUCCAGACGGAUGUGACUGAAUGACAAAUUAUUUAAGCAAUAAUAAAUCUAUACAUCUAUAUAUCUUCUAGAUCUAUCAUCAAGCAGCAAAGAAAUCCUGCCCUUCCUUGCAGUGACUAUUUUGGGAAAAGUUUUCUCCUGAACUUGGAGCAGUACCAAGCUUUUGAGCAUUGAAUAGUAGUCAAAAGUUAAGUUGAAGGCUGAUGCUAAUUUUUGCAAAAAAAAAAAAAAAAAAAAAAAUAUUGUGUUUGUGGUGCUCAACUAAGUUGAGAACCAUAAGGCUGACCUCAUGAAAAUCAUAUUAAUCUUGAGGCUUCUUUAGAUUGCAUUUCCCCUAGAUUGAAAAUUCCUUGGCUGGGCAAGGAUUGUCUUUUGUACUUUUUGUAUAUACAGCAUUUAGCACAGUGCCUGGUACAUAGUAAGUGCUUAAUGUUCAUUCAUUGAUUGAUUCUUUAAUUGCCUGUCUUGCCAGCAUUCUCAAUUUUUCUCCUCUCCAGGAGCUUCCUGUCUCUCCCAAGCAUACAUAGAUUUCUCUUUUUGUAAACUUGUUUCUUGGCCUUGCUGUUUUUCUACUGAUUUCCCCUGUGAUUUUCCUCAUUACUCCUAUUCAUUCAACACAUAUUAAAAGUAACUACUAUAUACAAGGGGUUUAAAUGGCUUUAAAGACUGAUUCUGGUACUUAUUAACUGUGUGACCCUUAGCAAGUCACUGCACUACAAUCUAUCACAGAGGCUGAUGAAAUCACAAAUCUUUGAAGUAUUAGUACUUAAACAAUCAAUACUUGAAGUAGCCAUACAAUGAAAUAUCAAUGUUCAGAUCAUUUGGGGGGAGAAGGGGAAUUACAAAGCAUAAGGCUGAGAAGAUGGAUCUAGAUACUGAGGCCAUGUUUUGUUUUGUUUUUCAUUCUUCAUAAUGACAGACUUUUCAUUCCAGUGGUUUCCCUUAAGUGCAUCUUUCAGACUAGCACCAGAUGAACUAAAAAUACUUUCAUUUCACUUGCAAAAAUGCAGAUAAGAUUAGUGAAGAAGGGACAUUAUAAAAUUCAACAACAACAACAACAAAACAGAAAUAAUUUUAUACAAAUUUCUUGCUUCUUAAAAGCAACUGUCACCUUUCUACUUACAAACUUCUGCCAUACUAGUUUUAAUUAAAUCCAUUCCUACAAGCUAAAUUUUUCAUUACACAAAGUAACUAACCUAUUAGGAAAUAUCUUUUUAAAAUAUAACUAGAGGGGCAAUUAGAUAAUGAAGUGAGUAGAGCACCCACCCUGGUGUCAGGAGGGCACCUGAGUUCAAAUCCAGCCUCAAGUACUUAACACUUACUAUCUAUAUGACUGCAAGUCACUUAACCCCAACUGCUUCAUUACUAAAAAAAAAAAAAAAAAAAAGUUAAUAGAAAACAUGGAAUAUAGUAUCUACAGACAUAUAACUAAAAAAAAAAAAAGUUAAUAGAAAACAUGGAAUAUAGUAUCUACAGACAUAUACUCUCUGAUGUGUUGUCACAUAUUAACUAGGCUUUGUUUCAAUAUUUUUCCUUGUAAUAAGGAAGGAGUAUGAAUAGCAGUUAAAGGGAACUAUUCAGUAUAAAAACUAAGAGUCAACAACACAACUAUAAAAAAUAUAUAUGUUUAUAAGGUGAUUCUUAAUAUGAAAAAUGCAAUUAUGGAAAUUGUUCCAAUAACUUUUUCCUUUGCUAAGCCAUCAUCCAGUUUCACCCUCUAAUUCACCACAUUCUCCAGGUCGUUUAUUUAGCUGUCUCCUCCAUACUCUCCAGUUUCUCCCUUUAUCAUUCUUGUGUAACACCAGUGGGUGACACUGCAGGGAGGACUGUCCUUUCUGCUCCCUCCUUCCUUCUGGAAAGGGCAAAGCCAAACCUCAUCUAAGCCUCACCUUUUUCACAAUCAGCAACUAAAGAUUUAAUUACACACAUUCUGUUAAAAGUCUAGGCCAUAGAUCACACAAAGUCCCAAAUUACUGUUAGGCCUGACAGGCAGUGUUUAUCUCUUUGACAUACCUGCACUGCCAGUCAGUUCUCAAACUCCUGUCUCACUUCCCUGUUUUUAGCAGCCCUUUUUGUAGUGGUAAAGAAUUGGAAAUUAAAUGGAUUCCCAUCAAUUGGGGAAUGGCUGAAUAAAUUAUGGUAUAUGAAUGUUAUGGAAUAUUACUGUUCUAUAAGAAAUGAUGAGGGGGCAGCAAGGUGGUGCAGUGUGAUAGAGCACCAGUCCUGAAAUCAAGAGGACCUGAGUUCAAAUUGGGUCUCAGACACUUAACAUUUCCUAAUUGUAUGACCCUGGGCAAGUCACUUAACCCCAAUUGCAAAAGGGAAGGGAAGGGAAGGGAAGGAAGGAAGAAAGAAGGAAAGGGAAGGAAGGAAGGAAGGAAAGAAGGAAGGAAGGAAGAGAAGGAGGGAGGGAGGGAAGGAGGAAGGAAGGAAGGAAAGAAAACACACUCCUUACAGGUAUUGUCUUCACUUUUGAAUUUGUACUCCCAUCAUUAAGUAGAGUGAAUAAUAAGAAUGCAUUAUUAUAAUCGCACAGUAGUAGUAAACAUUUAAUACCUUUUCAUUCAUUUCUUCAACCUUAACACCCUCUUUCAGGAGGAUCUCAACAAUUUCAGGAGUUAAAAUGUCAUUGCUAUGCAGAUGACUUCAAAAUUAUAAAUCUAGCAAUAAUCUCUUUCCUGCAGACAACCCCCCACCUAGAUUUCCUAUAAGCAUCUCAAACUCAUCAUGUCCAAGCAAUAACUAAUCUUUCCUUGCUAGGUCCAUCCAGACUACAAACGUAUUUAUUUCUGCUGAAAACACUAUCAUAUUUCUUAUUUUUUUAUUUAUUUUUAUUUUUUAUAAAGCUUUUUUAUUUUCAAAGCAUAUGCACAGAUAAUUUGACAACAUUGACUCCUGCAUAGCCUUGUGUUUCAGAUUUUCUUCUCAUUCCCCCCACACACCCCCUAAAUGGCAAGCAAUUCAAUAUAUUUUAAACAUGUUAAAAUAUAUGUUAAAUCCAAUAUGUAUAAACAUAUUUAUACAAUUCUCUUGCUGCACAAGAGAAAUCAGGUCAAAAAAAUAAAGUAAAUGAGUAAGAAAAUAAAAUGCAAGUGAGCAACAACAUAAAAGGGUGAGAAUGUUAUGUUGUGACCCACAUGCAGUUCCUACAGUCCUUUCUCUGGGUGUAGAUGGCUCUCUUCAUCAUGAGAUCAUUGGAACUGGCAUCAAUCAUCUCAUUGUUGGAAAGAGUCAUAUCCAUCAAAAUUGAUCAUAUAAUAUUUAUGUUGUCAUGUACAAUGAUCUCCUGGUUCAGCUCAUUUCACUUAGCAUCAGUUCAUGUAAGUCUCUCCAGGCUUCUCUAAAAUCAUCCUACUGAUCAUUUCUUAUAGAACAAUAAUAUUCCAUAGCAUUCACAUACCAUAACUUAUUCAGUCACUCUCCAACUGAUGGACAUCCACAUAGUUUCCAGUUUCUUACCAUUAUGAAAAGGGCUGCUACAAACAUUUUUGCACACGUGGGUCCCUUUCCCUCCUUGGAAUAUAGACCCAAAAGAAACACUGCUGGGUCAAAGGGUAUGCACAGUUUGAUAACUUUUUGAGCAUAGUUCCAAAUUGCUCUCCAGAAGGGUUGGAUCCAUCACAACAUAUGUACUUUUGUCUUAAGUCAGUGCCCUUGUCUUUUCCUGUCAACUUAGAAAAUUUGAGAGGUGACACCAUCAUAUUUCUAGGCAAAAUCUCCAAGUUAUCCUUCCCUUCCCCGUCUCUCCUUCCCAUUAACAUAUGUACUUUUGUCUUAAGUCAGUGUAUAGGUUACGCUCUUCCCCUCCUUUAAAAAUUGGCAACAGUCUCACUGUGUUUUCCCAGGAAUCUAUAGAAAGAAUUAAUUCAUAUUUAUGGAGGAGGAGGAGGCUAAAAGAGAAAGGAGGCAUUUUAAAAAAAGAAAGAAAGAAAGAAAUAUUAAAAGCAGAAGAUUCAAAAAGUUUUGUAAAAAAUUUUAGGAUUACAUAAAUUUACAUAUAUACAUGUAAGCAAUACUAUUACCUCUCUCCUUUCUCCUUCCCUUGACUGGAUUCAUAUGGUACUUCCUAUAUAUAUAUAAAUAAUACACACACAAAGGAAAUGUACCAAAAAUGUACAGAGUCCUGAAGAUAUACUGUAGAUCUCUGAGGUUGUCUGACUCCAACAUUCUUAAACUGCCCAUCAAUUUCACUGUGCCAAUUUUCUAAAGCCUAAGUGCCCUCAAAUGAAUGACUAAAUAAGUAAAUAAACAAAGCCCUAACAAUCUUAUCUUUUUGGACAAAGGACAAUUAUGUUAUACCAUUUAAUAACAAUAACAAAAUUAAAUCAUUUGAAAGUAUUUGAGAUAACUUAACCAUUACAGACAUCACCUCCUUCAGCUUCCUCUCCCUUCUAUCUGGAAGGUGAAGUAUCAAACUCCUCCAGAAGACGACAGAAACUGGAAUCUCAGCUCACACCAUUUUGUAUGGGAACAAGAUAUCUCCCUGCACAUUACCUCCAGUGUCCCAUCUUUCAUUGCUCCUGCCUCUAUUUAUGUUGUCUUUUCCCAUUAGAUUGAAAAUUCCUUGAGAUCUGGGAUUGUCUUUAUAUUAAUUGUAUCCUCAGUGCUUACCAAAGUGCCUGGCACAUAACAGGAGUUUAAUAAAUGUUUAUUGAAUUGAAUUGGAGAUGGACAAUCUCCAGGUAGGUGGUGGUGGUGAGCUGAUUUUUCACAUUCUUUUGUUUCCUCCUGACCCAUAUCUACUGAAGGCACACAAGGAGGUCAGAAUGGAGUACUUGUGUUCAAGGAAGACAAUGGUUUUUAUUUACAUUUUGUUGGGAACUACAGCUGUAAUCUACUUCUGCAUCUUACUCCCUAAAUGGAUUCAUUCCUCAGUUACCAAAGCAAUUUUUAAAGCACAGAUCUAUCUAGAUCAUUCUUCGCACAAGAAACUUCAAUGGCUCCCUAUUGCCCCUAGGAUAAACACUUGCUCUUUUGUUGCAACAGAUUGGUUCAGCCUAGCUUUCCAAAUUUACUUCAUAUCACUUUCAUUACAUGCUGUGUUUCAGUCAAAUGAAUUUACUUGAUCUCCCAUUUAAGCCUAUUUCCCUACUCUUGUUCAUUUUCUCUUAUUCUUGAAAUGCAUAUUCUCCUCACUUUCUAGUUUCAAGAUUGAAUUCAUGUGCUUGUUUUAUUUUACAUUAUUCUAUAGUCUUUUCUGUCAGCUCUCAUUAUUGGUACUCUCUCCUUCAAAUUAUACUGUAUUUAUCUUUUUAAAUAUAUGUUCCACUGCCAAGUAAAAUGGAAGUAUUUUGAGGACAGCGAUUUUUCCCCCAAUUUUGUCUGUAUCACCAUAUCACUUUGAACACAGAAAGCAAGUCGAAUCCAAAGAUCUACUGAGUAAUCAUGUCAAGUGAGCUAUCUCUGUUGCCAAUCAUAAUAAAGGUCUCCAAAUAUUACUUGUCAAUAUUAUAAUUAUGACAGAGCCCGGAACGCUAUAAAACUUCCUCAGUGAAAGAUAAUAAUGCAAAAACAUCUAACUAGCCACACUGAAAAAAAUUAAUGGAUGAAAAAUGUUAGGAAUUGUUAGGCAGCUGGCCAAACUAGUUUGUCUGUUUUUGUAUGUCUACAUAUACAAACAUAUAUACAAUACAUAAUGAAAGUAGCUGUAGGUCCUACAAUGAGAAGGCAGAGGGACUGUAAUCAUCUAGACGGAAUAUCUACCCCUAGUGAAAUUGUAGAUUCAAUGAAAAGUAUGGUGAUCCAAUUUCAAGAUGAAGCAAUGAGACUACAAAUGAGAUUCAAAUGAAUAUGCCCCAUAAAGAUGAUUAUGUUUGAACAGAUGGAGAAAUGGGGGAAUCAAAUAAAUGUGAACAAUACAGACAAGAUGAAAAUGGCUUUAGCAUGGAGUCUGGUUCAGAGAUGAAUCUGAAACAAGAUAUAUCUGAAGACUAGAAACCUACAUGGGGGCCUACAUGCUAACUUGAAAGCAAGGAAUUGAAGUAGAUUUUAGUAUGACAGGGAACAAGGCUUAACCAAAGAUUGUGUGGUGAUCUUUUGAAUAAUUUUGUAAAAAAGUCAAAGCUCUGACCAACUGAUCCAAAAAGUUCUAACUACUUGGGAAUUUAACUUUUGAGACCCAGAAGCUUGUAGACAGGAUAUACUAAUGUAAACCAAGAUUUAGUGACAAAGUACUUGUGCUAAGAUUUACAAUCUAGUGGUUUGAGAAAUGGUCUCAAAGUGAGAUUAAAAUUUUCAAAGCAUUAAAAUAAACCUAUUUCCACAAAUUCACUUAGAAGAUUCCUCUUUGUCAUCCUGAAGAAAUGUUCUAAGGGAACAUAAGGGUUUCAUGAAUGGUUUUUGACAACCUGGGGGAUAGCAUAUUUAUACAAAACCUACAGUUGAAUUAUAUUAACUCUGUCCAUAAUAUAUAGCAACACUCAAUGAAAUAGAAUCAUUCAAGAUAACCAUUCCUAUUUUUAAAUGUAUAUAUGAAUAUAAAUUACAAAGUCAGUUCAGUAUAUAAUACACAGUCCCAAUUUAUCAAAGGUUAUUCUAGCCAUAACAAGUAUUCACUCACCUCAGACAGGUUUAGAAAUAUGCUGCUAAACAGAAAAGUCCUACUUGGUAUGUAAUAAUAUGCCUAAACUUUAUCAGUUUCCUUCAUCACUGCCCACCAAGCUUGAGGAUUUAAGAGAAAAUUAGGAAGAUAGGGAGAAGGAAAAACACAAGAAUUCAGUGUGUUCUGAUACCAAAUAUGCCUUAGGUUUUGUUUUGCUCUCCUUUAUCUUAUUGCCAGUCAUUUUCUCUUCUCGGAUUCUUGUUUUUUCCCCUUCUUUUCCCCUUCCCCAUCCUUAUUAGCAGAUAGCUACCAAUUAUCUAUUUUCCAUUCUCCUUUGGCCUCUACUUUAGGUCUAACCUCCUAAAGAACUGCCCUACAUAUAUCACUGAUAACAAUUCCCCACAAUAAUCCUACUACUAUAAAAUUUCCAGGCUCUAAGCUUUGAGCUACCCAUAUAUAUUGGGCAAUUUUUAAAGCUAAGAUAUAUGGUAUAAAAGAGAUACAAAACUGUAGCAUUAUUAGUCCCUUGGUUCAAACUGUUUAAAACAGGAAAUUUGGUGUCAUCUCCACAGUCAAGAUAUUUGUAACCUGUAUUACCCCAAAUAUUGCUAAUUUCUGACCACCUUUAUUGUUUUAUUCUCAUAUUUACUUGUAAAAUUGUAAUGUCUGGGCUAGCUUUCUGAAGAUCCUUCGGAAGGGCCUUAGUCUCAGCUGGAUUGUCACCAUGAGGAUGAAGAAUAGAAUCCAAAGUUUUUAUUGUCUCCUUCACAGUCUGUGUCUGUCAUAAUCUGACCCAGUCUCCUCCAUAAGUCUGACAGUCUGACAGUCUCAAACAGUUUUCCCCUGAGUCUGAUUUUGUCCCCAGUUUAAAUACCCUAUUAUAAUUACAUUAUUACAGUAUACUAAGCAUAUGUGAACUAGAGAACCAUUACAUCACCAUGCUAAGUACUAAGUAUAUGUAUACUAGAGAACCAUUACAUCAUCAAUUCCACUGAGUUAACACCUUUUUUCAAGUAUGUUUCUCCAGAGUUCUGGCCUAUUAUAUCUUCUGCUUUCUUUUGUUUUAGAACAUAGGUGGUCAUACCCUCCCUGACUUCUCAGGAAGGUGAGAACACCAAACUAGAUAUUGUUAGCAGGUUUCCUCUGGAUUGAAACAGGUAUAAUAAAUCCAUCAGCAUGGGAGGUAUUACAUAAGCACAUAGUUAUAUAAC